CCUACGGGUGGCAGCAGUGGGGAAUAUUGGACAAUGGGGGCAACCCUGAUCCAGCCAUGCCGCGUGUGUGAAGAAGGCCCUCGGGUUGUAAAGCACUUUCAGUGAGGAAGAACGCCUGGUGGUUAAUACCCAUCAGGAAAGACAUCACUCACAGAAGAAGCACCGGCUAACUCCGUGCCAGCAGCCGCGGUAAUACGGAGGGUGCGAGCGUUAAUCGGAAUUACUGGGCGUAAAGCGCGCGUAGGUGGCCUGAUAAGCCGGUUGUGAAAGCCCCGGGCUCAACCUGGGAACGGCAUCCGGAACUGUCAAGCUAGAGUGCAGGAGAGGAAGGUAGAAUUCCCGGUGUAGCGGUGAAAUGCGUAGAGAUCGGGAGGAAUACCAGUGGCGAAGGCGGCCUUCUGGACUGACACUGACACUGAGGUGCGAAAGCGUGGGUAGCAAACAGGAUUAGAUACCCCUGUAGUC
rnacentral:rRNA from 1 species